AUUGAACGCUGGCGGCAGGCCUAACACAUGCAAGUCGAACGAGUGGCGGACGGGUGAGUAAUGUCUGGGAAACUGCCUGAUGGAGGGGGAUAACUACUGGAAACGGUAGCUAAUACCGCAUACCAUCAGAUGUGCCCAGAUGGGAUUAGCUUGUUGGUGGGGUAACGGCUCACCAAGGCGACGAUCCCUAGCUGGUCUGAGAGGAUGACCAGCGACACUGGAACGGGAACACGGUCCAGACUCCUACGGGAGGCAGCAGUGUGGAAUAUUGCACAAUGGGCGCAAGCCUGAUACAGCCAGGCCGCGUGUAGUAAGAAGGCUUGCGGGUUGUAAAGUACUUUCAGCGGUGAGGCGUUACCCGCAGAAGAAGCACCGGCUAACUCCGUGCCAGCAGCCGCGGUAAUUC
rnacentral:rRNA from 1 species